AACGAACGCUGGCGGCAGGCUUAACACAUGCAAGUCGAACGAGUGUAGCAAUACACUAGUGGCGCACGGGUGAGUAACACGUGGAUAUCUGCCUUUUGGUUCGGGAUAACCCUGGGAAACUAGGGCUAAUACCGAAUGGUUCCUACGGGAUAAAGAUUUAUCGCCAAAAGAUGAGUCCGCGUCCGAUUAGCUAGUUGGUGAGGUAAUGGCUCACCAAGGCGACGAUCGGUAGCUGGUCUGAGAGGACGAUCAGCCACACUGGGACUGAGACACGGCCCAGACUCCUACGGGAGGCAGCAGUGGGGAAUAUUGGACAAUGGGGGCAACCCUGAUCCAGCCAUGCCGCGUGAGUGAUGAAGGCCUUCGGGUUGUAAAGCUCUUUUGGCGGGGACGAUGAUGACGGU
rnacentral:rRNA from 1 species